rnacentral:rRNA from 1 species
AUGGCGGCAAAUCCAGAAGUCAUCACCGAGCUGGCCGUCCUCCCUGGCGACCCCUCCGCCACCACCAAGGCCCAGGAGAUCCCCAAGGUCGCCCAUGAUGCAACCCCGACCUGCAUCCCGAUGGUUCCCGUCACCUGUUCGACGGAGUGCUCGACCCAGGAAGCCCAUGACAUCGCUGCUGUCGCAGCGGAGGUUCGCAACACCACCACCGCACUCGGUUCCGAGCUCACAAUCGACCUCUACAACACCACAACAGCCAUCGGUGUAACCUCCUGUGGUCACCACGACAAGUUUAACCUCCUCAACAUCCCCGUGAAGGCCAGCAUCAGCCCGCCACCCCACGUCCAGCUGUUCCGGAACCAUGACCUGGACGUCAAGCCGCCCACAAGGCACGAAGGGCUGCCGAUACGGCCGACACCAUGGCCAUCAUAUCUGGUGCAUCAUAGUGCAGAGGAGAAUGAGGUUCGACCAACUCCGUAG